rnacentral:rRNA from 1 species
GAUGAACGCUGGCGGCGUGCCUAAUACAUACAAGUCGAGCGAAUGGAUUAAGAGCUUGCUCUUAUGAAGUUAGCGGCGGACGGGUGAGUAACACGUGGGUAACCUGCCCAUAAGACUGGGAUAACUCCGGGAAACCGGGGCUAAUACCGGAUAAUAUUUUGAACUGCAUGGUUCAAAAUUGAAAGGCGGCUUCGGCUGUCACUUAUGGAUGGACCCGCGUCGCAUUAGCUAGUUGGUGAGGUAACGGCUCACCAAGGCAACGAUGCGUAGCCGACCUGAGAGGGUGAUCGGCCACACUGGGGCUGAGACACGGCCCAGACUCCUACGGGGGGCAGCAGUAGGGAAUCUUCCGCAAUGGACGAAAGUCUGACGGAGCAACGCCGCGUGAGUGAUGAAGGCUUUCGGGUCGUAAAACUCUGUUGUUAGGGAAGAACAAGUGCUAGUUGAAUAAGCUGGCACCUUGACGGUACCUAACCAGAAAGCCACGGCUAACUACGUGCCAGCCGCCGCCGUAA